rnacentral:rRNA from 1 species
CCUACGGGUGACAGCAGUGGGGAAUAUUGCACAAUGGGGGAAACCCUGAUGCAGCGACGCCGCGUGAGUGAAGAAGUAAUUCGUUAUGUAAAGCUCUAUCAGCAGGGAAGAAAAUGACGGUAACUUAGUAAGAAGCCCCGGCUAACUACGGGCCAGCAGCCGCGGUAAUACGUAGGGGGCAAGCGUUAGCCGGAUUUACUGGGUGUAAAGGGAGCGUAGACGGCAGUGCAAGUCUGAAGUGAAAGUCGGUGGCUCAACCCGCGGACUGCACUGGAAACUGUACGGCUGGAGUGCAGGAGAGGUAAGUGGAAUUCCUAGUGUAGCGGUGAAAUGCGUAGAUAUUAGGAAGAACACCAGUGGCGAAGGCGGCUUACUGGACUGUAACUGACGUUGAGGCUCGAGAGCGUGGGGAGCAAACAGGAUUAGAUACCCGGGUAGUC